UUUUAUCACAGACUCUGACUCUGCUUUAACUACAGACAUGGGGGAUGAGCAGAAAAAAUCUUCUACCUGCACCAGGCAACAAAGUCCAUGAAGCUAUAAACACAAAUUGCAGCUGUUCUUUAAGGUGUCUGAUCUAUCCUCUCAAGAAGCCAAUUUAAUUUUUAAUUUCCUCUGAUGAGACUCCGAAGAUGCUGGAUAAAAUAUGAGGAAUGGUCUUGUGAGUGCAAGGUGUCUCUUUUUUGCUUUGAAAGGACGUGUAAAGGCUCUGGAUGGGGGGAAAGUUCACAUCAGAACUCAGAAGCAACAUGUUGCCAGUGACCCUCUAUUACUUGCUCUUUGCCAAUUCUUACUACUGUUCCUUUUUAUGCUUCUUUUCAUAUAAAGGGCAAUUUUGGCAGUGAGACCAAAAAUUUUCAAAGUCAUUUUCAGAGCAGAUGAGAGUGACCAAUCUUCUUGUGCUCAGGUUGAAACAUAAAAUUUGCUACUUUGACUUAUUUUACCUGCAGACCACCAUUAAUUAUAGAGCAGAAGGUGAAAAGGAGGAAAAAAAUAUAAAAGAGGUGAGGAAAUAUAAAAAAGUAGAGAGGACAGGGAAAGAGUAUGAAGAGGAAAGG